rnacentral:rRNA from 1 species
CGGGUGAGUAACGCGUAGGCAACCUGCCCUUUGCAGAGGGAUAGCCAUUGGAAACGAUGAUUAAAACCUCAUAAUACUAAAUAGUCACAUGGCUGUUUGGUCAAAGAUUUAUCGGCAAAGGAUGGGCCUGCGUCUGAUUAGCUAGUUGGUGGGGUAACGGCCUACCAAGGCGACGAUCAGUAGCCGACCUGAGAGGGUGAUCGGCCACAUUGGAACUGAGACACGGUCCAAACUCCUACGGAAGGCAGCAG